rnacentral:rRNA from 1 species
GACGUAGGAGGCGAGCGUUGUCCGGAUUCAUUGGGCGUAAAGAGCGUGUAGGCGGCUUGGUAGGUCCGCUGUGAAAACUCGAGGCUCAACCUCGAGAUGUCGGCGGAAACCACUUGGCUAGAGUCCGGAAGAGGAGAGUGGAAUUCCUGGUGUAGCGGUGAAAUGCGCAGAUAUCAGGAAGAACACCUAUGGCGAAGGCAGCUCUCUGGGACGGUACUGACGCUGAGACGCGAAAGCGUGGGUAGCAAACAGG